UACGUAGGGUGCAAGCGUUGUCCGGAUUUAUUGGGCGUAAAGAGCUCGUAGGCGGUUUGUCGCGUCGGAUGUGAAAACCCAGGGCUCAACCCUGGGCCUGCAUUCGAUACGGGCAGACUAGAGUAUGGCAGGGGAGACUGGAAUUCCUGGUGUAGCGGUGAAAUGCGCAGAUAUCAGGAGGAACACCGGUGGCGAAGGCGGGUCUCUGGGCAAUAACUGACGCUGAGGAGCGAAAGCGUGGGGAGCGAACAGG
rnacentral:rRNA from 1 species